rnacentral:lncRNA from 1 species
CGAAAAUCAGGCUUGAAGGCAUAUAUGUUCUUAUUAGCCAUACCCGCGCGAGCGGCACGCUGCGCCUCAUCGAUAUGGUACAUGUAUAUGUCCUAUUUUCAGUGUAUAAAAACUGCAAAAAUUAGUGUGCAUAGAAACUACAAGACAACUAUGCUCAGCAGGGAGAUGAACCAGCGCAAGAACACAUACACACCAUGCACGGACAUGUAUGAACACGGAGCCAUCGUACAUCAAGAAGAUUAUACUCGCCCAAACACGCUGGCCUCGAUGAUGAGCCUGCGAUUGGGCUACCAACACAACACAUCUAAGCUCACCACCACCAUCUCUUCUACGACCAUGGUGUCAUGGACACGGAACUGCCCCAUCUCCAUCUCUGACGUGCCUUCCUCCCAUCACUCCAUCGCCAUCCGCACGGUCCACAGUUCUUGCCCAUCAACUUGCAUGCUUCAUCGCUGCCGGAUAUGAUGCACACGGCCUGGCGCAACACCACAUGGGCCUCCGUCGACGGGAGCAGAUGGAGAAACAGAGAAAGCCAUGUCCGACUCCAACGACAACGUGCGGUCCAGGGUUGUUGCCGAGUGCCUGACACAUCGUAGGGCGGAUGCCGCGAUGCUCUACCUGUCAUGUUACCGCCGCGCCCAUGCUACGCUGCAGCGCUGUAGGCUGUAGCCUCCGUCCGCCGCUGCACCACUCCGUUUCUCUGCUUGAUCUACGAUUUUGAGGAGCAAAAGCAUGUGGAGCUGGUGCAUCUGCCACUGCUAAACGACCGUGGCAUGGUGGAGGGCGUGGAUGGCUACACCGGUUGCCCCUCGGCGGCGGACCUCGCGGUGAUCCUCGGCGUUGUCGACGACAAGACGGCUAGCAGGCUGGCCUCGAGCUUGUCCGGCGCCGCUCAGCAUGGAAGUCCGCAGGAGGCGCUGAGACAACACUGUCAUCGUCGUGUCUCAGGAAGAACGAAGGGGCACUGCUAUGGAGAGCUAUCGGCAAGCAGAACAAGGCCUAGAACUGCUGCUACGGGCUCCAUGCUGAGUGGGGGAGAGGCUGGGAAAGAAAUGAAGCGGCCUAAUGGCUGCGGUCGAGAGACGACUGGCAGCGAGCAGAUAGAGGCAACAAAGAAAAGGCAGCCCGCAUGUUAGGAUGAGAAGACCGCGCGAGGCGAGACAAACGGGUUUUAGUCAAUGCAUUUGAGAGGACAGAAUGUGAGCUUUUAUAGGCAUGUUAGACGGUGGACGAUUUGGCCAGAGGCUUCGAGAAAACACGGGAUGAUGGACACGUGAAGAAACGGAAACGAACCGACAAACACUGAUCCACGCGUCAACUCACGUAGCAGCCAACAAUAUCACACCAGAAACCAGGUGAUGCAGCAUGCAUGCGUAUGCAUGUGGUCCAAUCACGGACGAAAACAAAAAUCGAAUAUGCAUGCAGCCCAAUACCCAUAAUUAAGGAGCCCAUCCAGACAAAUGAGACAAAACAGUUACGUGCAUGACUUCACCAUUGGUCGGUCGUCUACGCAGGAGCCGGGCAGCAGCUGAUUGCGCCCAUGCCCCUUGCCGUCUUGUCGCUGUACCUAAGCGCCAAUCCCGUGGCCACCGCUCCGGGCAGCUGCUACUGGUCGGUCAUCCACCCAAGCGGUGUGUUCCAAUGCAUACAAUAGCUGAUUUAACCAUGUACUUUUGUCGCCUUGUAGUUGGACGUAGACCACCAGUUUGCUCAUUUCUUGUUCGUUGGACGUCCCUCUUCUCGCAUGCAAGCACAUACGUAUAUACUAAGCCAAAUCGGCCCAUACAACGGCAAAAGAAAAUUUGAAGCUGCAUUGCCGGCUAGAGCGGCACAUAGAGAAGAAGAAAAAGUGAAAUGCCACACGGUCAAACAACCUACACCCUAGAGCGGCGCAUAGAUAGGGGGCUGUUUUCUUCUCAGCCUAAGGUUGCCAAGCCUAACCUUAGUCAUGUCACAACACUUUAGGCAUGUGUUUAAUUUAUUGCCACACUUGUGGCUUGACACACUUUUCUAGUUAUAUGGCCCACAAGUUAUAGGCUCAAUUUUUUGCCAAAUCUUGCCACACUUGUGGUGCUCAUUUUGUUAGCCACACUUUUUGUGGCAGCCACACUUUGCCUAAGGUUAAUUGUGACAAAGUUAGUCAUGAACCAAACGGGCCAUAAAAGUCCCAAAAACUACACGGUGGAACAACCUCCAAAACCAAAAUGCAAACACUAGAGCUACACGGGGAUGAGGCAACCACGUUCAAAAAAUUUCAAACAAAAACACACAACCACACAUGCAUUUCUACCCAACCAUAUCCCAAAGAAAUACACACGUCAAGACACCUAAUGCCCACAAGUUACUUUCAUCCAAGUGGCUAAAUGUCAGGGCAAAAACAUCCCCGGAAAUAGGGGUUUGGGUAUGACAAACGUGUACUAAAUCCUCAAGCACAUCAGACAACAUUGUUGACUUAUUUCUUUACCAUUAAUCAGGAAUUACACCGUUUACUUGAUUGAUGGUACAAUCUCAUUGAAAUCGCUGUAUGUUUUCUGGCCUUUGAUCAAUAAUAUGGUCAAUUGCAGGAAGCAUUGUCUCUGUGGCCAACGGAUCAUCUGCCCCUUUCUCUUAUUCUGAUGCAGGAACAUAGCUAUCCGGAAAUGGUACUCGAAAAAAAGGUAUUCGAAAAGGGUGGAGGGGAGGGGCAGAGGGCAACUGCGAAGAAAUAUGUCAGAUGUUUGAUAGUUAAUAGCAAAUGAUUGACAAGGCAGUCUGAUGAACAGACUUCGGGCUCUGCCGCGGAGCGGGACUCGGCAUUGAGUCCGCCAACCACCAAAUGAGAUAUAUGAUGUAAUGGGGAGGAGUUGUAAAUCAUAUGCAUCCCAACAUAACAAAAAUUGUCCAAUCUAUUUCUUGCAGGGGACAUAUAUAUUUGUUGUUUAUAUUAUGUAACAGUUUAUAGUUUUUUUUCCUUUCCAUUUGAACAAAGUUGUAGGUUGCAGACACUCAAACUCCAGAGGAACAAACCGGAGGUCACCUAAGUAAUGCAUUAUCGACAUCUGAUUCUUCAAAAGGUAAACCAAUUCCAUGGAGAGUUCAUGGAAUGUUAGAGAAGUGAUUGAUGUUGAGUUAUCUAGCAGUGUCUGUAAUCAUCCAAAGUGCAUAAAGUACUUUUGACGGCCACUUGAAUACGGUGGAGCCGAAACAACUUGACCAACACUAAAUUAUUUUGCAAUGCCUCUAGGAGUCCACACUUAUCCACUACACACACCCAAGUACAUAAGAGUUUAAUUAUUCUGCAAGAAAACAAAAGAGAACACACAUAGAGUACUAAUUGGAAGGGAUCAUGGACACCAAUCAAUGAUCUAUUGCUACGGUGAAAAAUAUAGUGCAGAAAUGACUCAACAUGAACAGUGGUAGGCAUCAAGAUAGGUUAACUUGUACCUUGAGUGUGAUUUGCUUCAUCCUUCAAACCCAAAAAGCAACCACAAAUAGCAAAGAAGAAGGUGACAAAUCACCUUCGGAUAUCAAUGAGAGAUUCAAAGAAACACAAAAAAUCAACUCGAACCACAUUUUGUUACUCGAUCGCCAGCUUACUAAUCAAGCUCACCUGUGUUGUCACCACUUCAUGAACUCCCACCAAUGGCUCGCAUCCUUGGUUUCUAUGUGAUCGCAGGUCAUCCGAACACCACCCUCCAAGGUAGGGUUAUAACCUGCACCACUGCAGGCAAAAAGCAAAGAAGAAUGAAUGAAUUAGAGAUGGGGGCUUCCUCACCAAAUAAGCAUGUAAAUACAAUAAGCACAACAUACAUACUAUUGCAUCCCAUCGAAAUGCAAUGCAUGUAGCACACGAAGAAAGAAAUGAGCAUCAUCAUGUUGCGCAGUAGGGUUUGAGUAAGGCUACAAGAGCCAGGUGAAACACUAUUAAUAACACGGUGAGAUUCAGAAAGAUACUAGCCUCAACAACAAACAAGAUUCAGAAAGAUACUUGUUAGGAAUUAACCAAUAGAGCNNNNNNNNNNNNNNNNNNNNNNNNNNNNNNNNNNNNNNNNNNNNNNNNNNNNNNNNNNNNNNNNNNNNNNNNNNNNNNNNNNNNNNNNNNNNNNNNNNNNNNNNNNNNNNNNNNNNNNNNNNNNNNNNNNNNNNNNNNNNNNNNNNNNNNNNNNNNNNNNNNNNNNNNNNNNNNNNNNNNNNNNNNNNNNNNNNNNNNNNNNNNNNNNNNNNNNNNNNNNNNNNNNNNNNNNNNNNNNNNNNNNNNNNNNNNNNNNNNNNNNNNNNNNNNNNNNNNNNNNNNNNNNNNNNNNNNNNNNNNNNNNNNNNNNNNNNNNNNNNNNNNNNNNNNNNNNNNNNNNNNNNNNNNNNNNNNNNNNNNNNNNNNNNNNNNNNNNNNNNNNNNNNNNNNNNNNNNNNNNNNNNNNNNNNNNNNNNNNNNNNNNNNNNNNNNNNNNNNNNNNNNNNNNNNNNNNNNNNNNNNNNNNNNNNNNNNNNNNNNNNNNNNNNNNNNNNNNNNNNNNNNNNNCACACACACACACACACACACACACACACACACACACACACAUUGGUAGUAGUCGACAUUACACGAGCCGUCCUAGUGUCCCACGUGGAGGUGAAAAAAAUGCAGUUUUUGCUUGGAAACGCACCGAUGAAUGCGAUACCAUCCAAAGCAAUCACCUUUGGAAUUCUUCACUUUAUCUCGUCGGAUACCAUCAAUCGCCUCGAAAUGCAAUGCAUGUAAAGGAAACGGACAUCACGAUGUGGCACGGUAGGGUGUACAAGAACAGGUGCAGCAGUGUUAAUAACAUGCGUUCUAAGAUUCAGGUGUAGGGCUUUCUUAUGGUUUGGGUAGGAUAAAAACUCUAUAGGACAGUGUAAAGUGGCUAAGCAUCUUCAUUUUUUUNNNNNNNNNNNNNNNNNNNNNNNNNNNNNNNNNNNNNNNNNNNNNNNNNNNNNNNNNNNNNNNNNNNNNNNNNNNNNNNNNNNNNNNNNNNNNNNNNNNNNNNNNNNNNNNNNNNNNNNNNNNNNNNNNNNNNNNNNNNNNNNNNNNNNNNNNNNNNNNNNNUUUUUUUUAUCAAAAUGGGUUUCCCACCUCUCCAUGUUAUUGAUAAAAUGGGGCACCGUAUCCAGGACAGUUCAUAGCAUCCAGGCCUACUUAGAGUAGCAAACCAGUAGAAAUAUAACCUACAUAGCAGUUAUGAAAUAAAAGUGGCCACGUAGGGCCAUGGAAUGACACAUCCGAACUGCGCAGUAGAAAAACUAGGAUCUACUAUCGCAAUCUUGCACACAACAGCUCAACCAGAGUGAGCCCUGUGAUAGAAGCCACCUAGUCCUCCCUACGCCAGCCGGGGCCUUCACUUCCAAGCUAUGCGUAAUAAUUCGCCUCUUCGACGGUCCAACGGCAGGUGACAGCGUCGGAGUAAGACUGAUUGGUGGGCCACACACAGGAUCUUCCAUUAUUUUUUGCAAAAGUGAGUUGGCCUUCCCUAGGAUAACGCGAGUGCUUAUCCACGACACACCCUGAAAGCACAUUUGGUUACGCAUGGUCAAAAUGCUCCAAAUGGCAUUAACACGAGCAAUGUUAUCUUCUUAUUGUUAAGGCCCCACAAGACAGACAACUCUAUCAUAUUAUGUGGCCAAUAGAAGCUAAAAGUAUCAUCAAAGUCUUUCCAAAUUUCCUUAGCAACAAUACAAUCAAAAAAUAGAUGAUGGAUAGUUUCAUUUUCACCAUAGAACAAGCAAGUCCCAUCAUUAACUUGUUGCCUCUUGCCAAAAUUAUCUCUAGUGAGGAUUUUGUUGUGGUAAGUUAGCCAUAUAAACACUAAGUAUCUAUGUCGAACAGGAAUUUUCCAAAAGUUCUUCUAAAUUGGGGUAGACCCCCCCCCCCAAUUAUUCAUGUUAUAAAAGGAUGUUGCCCAGUACACUCCAUUAGAUUCAAGUGCCCACACAGGCAUGUCACUGUUGUCAUUAGGGAUAUGUUGAGAUAGUAACAACGUAAGAUCCUGCCACUUCCUAAGGAAGUUCUCUUCAACACAGUGACUGACAGUAAGUUUUAAGUGCCACACCAUCCCAAACCUGGGCAACAGUACUGUAUUUUUUUGUUGACAAAUGUAAAAAAUGUCCUAGGAUUUGGUUUUACAGGAAUCAGGAAGUUUUCCGUCUGGCAAGUACAGACGGCAAAGAGUUUGCCGUCAGCUGGCUGACGGCAAAGAGUGCCGGCAAAGCCGAAGUGGUAAAGAAUACAAUGUCGUCAGCUUUUCAUUGGGCAGACGGCAAAGAAUUUGCCAUCAACCAAACUGUGGAUUUGCCGUCUUCCCUCAAACCCACAGACGGCAAACAAAACUAUCUUUGCCGUCAGUAAUACUACAUGUUUGCCGUCUGCCCUUGUGCCCACAGAUGGCAAAUAUUUUUUAUAUUAUUAAAAAAACAUGAUUAUUCGUUUGUGUCAAUCCGUCCUGCGUUCAUGCCCCGUUCAUGUCUGUCAGUUCAUUGUUACUGUCAUGUUUGGUGUUCAUGUCCACAGCAGCAGUCGGAGCCGAACGGAGUAGAUGUUGGCUGCCCUGGCCGCGCCGCUCAACAGCACCAAUAGGAGGGAGGAGACACUGGCCGCCCUACCCGCAGUCUCCUCCUGCGCCGGCCCACAAAGGCCUCCCGCGCCGACCGCAACAGUCGUGCCCAGCUCAGCACGCUCGCUACUCGACCAUCGCCUGCUCGCACCGCUCGCACGUGGAUUGCUCGUGCCGCCCGCCUGCGCGUCGCCCGCAGAGGCCUCCCAUGCCGGCCGCCCUGCCCGUGCCGGCCCACAACACCACACCCGCCCGCGCCCUGCUAACGCCUCCCGCGCGUCACCGCCAGCGGGCCGUUCACCGCCGCCAAUGCGCAGCUCCAGCGCCGGACUUUGUCGCGCAUUGCAGCGGGAGAAGAAGGGACCGGCAGAGACGGAGCAGAGGAAGGGGGAGGCCGGAGGUCUGCCACAGUGGUGGGGGUUUGCCGGCCGGAGGAGCCGCGACUGGUGGCGCCCGCUAGUGGAUUUUGACACGGGCGAUGUGGUGGGGGUGGGCUAUGUGCGCGUUAGAGAGAGGGGGGGUAUGAGAGAGUGGUGGUGCCAGAGGAUAAGAUAGAGAGAUAUCGUCAAAGGUCGAGAACAUGCCAACAUGGUGUGCUCGGGCUAGGGAGAGAUCAGCGAGAGACGGAGUGGUUGUUGGGGAACGUAGUAAUUUCAAAAAAAUUCCUACGCACACGCAAGGAUCAUGGUGAUGCAUAGCAACGAGAGGGGAGAGUGUUGUCCACGUACCCUCGUAGACCGAAAGCGGAAGCGCUAGAACAACGUGGUUGAUGUAGUCGUACGUCUUCACGAUCCAACCGAUCCAAGUACCGAACGUACGGCACCUCCGAGUUCAGCACACGUUCAGCUCGAUGACGAACCCCGGACUCCGAUCCGGCAGGGUUUCGGGGAAGAGUUCCGUCAGCACGACGGUGUGGUGAUGGUGAUGAUGUUCUACCGACGCAGGGCUUCGCCUAAGCACCGCUAUGAUAUGACCGAGGUGGAAUAUGGUGGAGGGGGGCACCGCACACGGCUAAGGAAAGACACGAAGAUCAACUUGUGUGUCAUGGGGUGCCCCCCUGCCCCUGUAUAUAAAGGAGGGAGGGGGGAGGUGCGGCCGGCCCCUAGGGGUGCGCCUGGAGGAGUCCUACUCCCACCGGGAGUAGGACUCCCUCAUCUUGCCUUGUUAGAGAAGGAAGGGGGANNNNNNNNNNNNNNNNNNNNNNNNNNNNNNNNNNNNNNNNNNNNNNNNNNNNNNNNNNNNNNNNNNNNNNNNNNNNNNNNNNNNNNNNNNNNNNNNNNNNNNNNNNNNNNNNNNNNNNNNNNNNNNNNNNNNNNNNNNNNNNNNNNNNNNNNNNNNNNNNNNNNNNNNNNNNNNNNNNNNNNNNNNNNNNNNNNNNNNNNNNNNNNNNNNNNNNNNNNNNNNNNNNNNNNNNNNNNNNNNNNNNNNNNNNNNNNNNNNNNNNNNNNNNNNNNNNNNNNNNNNNNNNNGGGGGGAGGGGGCGCGCUGCCUGCCCUGGCCGGCCCUCCUCUUCUCCCUUAGGGCACAUGUAGGCCCAUUAACCCCCGGGGGGUUUUGGUAACCCCCCGGUACUCCGGUAAAAUCCCGAUUUCACCCGGAACGGUUCCGAUAUCCAAAUAUAGGCUUCCAAUAUAUCAAUCUUUAUGUCUCGACCAUUUCGAGACUCCUCGUCAUGUCCGUGAUCACAUCCGGGACUCCGAACAACCUUUGGUACAUCAAACACUAUAAACUCAUAAUAUAACAGUCAUCGUAACUUUAAGCGUGCGGACCCUACUUGUUCGAGAACUAUGUAGACAUGACCUAGAACUGUUACCGGUCAAUAACCAAUAGCGAAACCUGGAUGCUCAUAUUGGCUCCUACAUAUUCUACGAAGAUCUUUAUCGGUCAAACCGCAUAACAACAUACGUUGUUCCCUUUGUCAUCGGUAUGUUACUUACCCGAGAUUCGAUCGUCGGUAUCCAAUACCUAGUUCAAUCUCGUUACCGGCAAGUCUCUUUACUCGUUACGUAAUACAUCAUUCCGUAACUAACUCAUUAGCUACAUUGCUUGCAAGGCUUAUAGUGAUGUGCAUUACCGAGAGGGCCCAGAGAUACCUCUCCGACAAUCUGAGUGACAAAACCUAAUCUUAAAAUGCGCCAACUCAAUAUGUACCUUUGGAGACACCUGUAGAGCUCCUUUAUAAUCACCCAGUUAGUUGUGACGUUUGGCAGCACACAAAAUGUUCCUCCGGUAAACGGGAGUUGCAUAAUCUCAUAGUUGUAGGAACUUUGUAUAAGUCAUGAAGAAAGAAAUAGCAACAUACUAAACAAUCAACUGCUAAGCUAACAGAAUGGGUCAAGUCAAUCACAUCAUUCUUCUAAUGAUGUGAUCCCGUUAAUCAAAUGACAACAUCUGUCUAUGGUUAGGAAACACAACCAUCUUUAAUUAAUGAGCUAGUCAAGUAGAGGCAUACUGGUGACGUUAAGUUUGUCUAUGUAUUCACAAAUGUAUUAUGUUUCCGGUUAAUACAAUUCUAGCAUGAAUAAUAAACAUUUAUCAUGAUAUGAGGAAAUAAACAAUAACUUUAUUAUUGCCUCUAGGGCAUAUUUCCUUCAAUGGUGGGGGUAGUCCUAGCCAUGGGCAGUCCGGGCCGAACGACUUGGCCCGACCCCACGUUACACCCAGGCCGUGCUCGGGCCUAGAUUUUGAGCCCGAAUGGGGGCCGGGCCUGCCGUUUUCGCGAUAUACUAAAGGGGACCGGCCCGCGGCCUGAGGCCCGUCGGGCUUUAUCACUUUCGAGCUGGGCUUGGGCCCAAAAACCAGGCCCGACGGCCGGGCCGGGCUCGGGCCUAUGUUUUCUGCCUCGGGCUUUGGUAGGCCUGACCCGGCAGAUGGCCGGGUAUAGGUGGGGGUGUGGCUGUGAUCGUCCUCAUCGAUCCGUGGGAUCAAUCCGUGGACUAUGUUUUCUCUUUCUCGUCUACCUUUUGUAUUACAGACGGCAAAGAUCUUUGUCGUCUGUAUGUAUUUUUUCAGACGGCAAAGUGAGCUCUUUGCAGUCUGUAUUGUUUUUACAGACGGCAAGGUUUAUUUUGCCGUUACUUUUUCUUUGUCGUCUGCUGAUGACGGCAAACCCUUUCUUUGCAGUCUGCCUCGAUGAAAAUGCUGACGACAAAGAAAGUACUGACGACAAAUCUCCAUGUUUCCCGUACUGCUAACGUUUCUGUGGUGAUCAAAUAGUUGAUUUUUUUACCACGUCAUUGGUUGUACUUGGGAUCCGAUAUAAGUUGUAGUUAGUUUUUUUUUGUUAUGGAAUGUGAAUGUUUAUUCAAUAUUAGCUAUGAAAAGCAUUGUUCUGAAGAUCUUUACUUUUGACUGUAUUGGUGUGUUUCUUUCCACUUGGUGGGUGGUCCCUUACUAUGUAGAGACCAAACUAAAAAUUUAUAUAAAAGACACAUAUUUUCUUAUCUAAAUUUCCGUGACCAAAAUAAUUUGCUUUUGAGAGCCUCAAGUUAUAUGACAAAUUUCAUCCUAAGGUACCAACAACACGCAUAUGCGACAACUUCUCUAACGUGGUGGUCCUCCGUAUGUAACGUCCAUUCACUGAAGAUCGUACCAUCAGUUACACGGCUGGACACCCAUCUAUUGAACGAUUGGAUCAUUUUGGAAAAGCGCUUUAUAAUUUCAUUGUUGGUACUAAUCCCGCGGCGGGGUUACACCGGGAUGAUUUGAUUUCAACAUCCGAUGUCACUUAUGCUCUAUCUUGCCACAGUAGAGCUAUCUCAUGUCGUCGGUUGCAGCCAGUUAGAUCAUGUUUGGACUGUUGAGGUAUCCUGUGUGUCCUGCCACCAUAGGAUUCCAGUCGUAUCAGUGUCUUUUCAGUAAACCAUGUUCAGUGAGAAUAAGAGAAUCCUCUCCGGAAUGUAGUACUAUAUCUUUUCCAUUUUACCUAUACGUUAUAUGUAAGGUAGUUAUGAAUGAAAGUCGUUUCCCUUUAUUUGCCUUCUGAUAUAAAUGGUAUGCCUGCAAAAUAUUCCAAUGAAUACAAUACAUCUGUCUCAACGGGCGCGGCGUGCCACCAUGCCGGGUUCGCUAGUAUUAGAGGAGAGGAGAAGAAAAGCAUCCAUUCCGAGGUGGUUCCACGAUUGGCAGGGUAAUUAAGGGGCGCGGCAGCGGACAGUGAGGUGGAUUGGCGGGCUUGCGGAGGCAUGCCACCAUCCCCCGAGCCAUCGAUAGCAAAAAGGUAAGAAUAUUAGAGGACGCUGCAAUAGACAAGGAGUUUACUGCGGCGUCCUCUAGCAUUAGAGAACAUUGCCUUCCUCUGAGCCGUCCAAAGCAACAAAAAAUAAUAGAGCAUGAAACUAGCGAAAAACUAGAGGAGUAAAUAUUACGUCCAGAAAAUAAAUUAAAAAGAUUGCCUUCCUGUGAGACGUCCAAAGCAAACGAAUAGAGCACAAAAUUAGCAAAAUUUUAGAAGAAAAAAUAUACUGCGUCUAAAAAAUAUAUUAAAAAGUAGUAGUAAAAAAUGUAUAUUGAAAGAUCGCCUUUCUCUGAGACGUCCAAAGCAAAAGAAUAGAGAACUAAAUUACCAAAGUAUUUGAAGGUAAAAUACUGUGUUGAAAAAAUAUGUUGAAAAAGACUAACAUCACACCGUACUUCUAACCCCCCGCACCUCCAAGUAAGGAGAGACCUAGGGUCACAGGCCGCCAGGACAGGCCCACCUAUUCACUGAAGAUCGUACCAUCAGUUACACGGGUGGACACCCACCUAUUGAACGAUUGGAUCAUUUUGGAAAAGCGCUUUAUAAUUUCAUUGUUGGUACUAAUCCCGCGGCGGGGUUACACCAGGAUGAUUUGAUUUCAACAUCCGAUGUCACUUAUGCUCUAUCUUGCCACAGUAGAGCUAUCUCAUGUCGUCGGUUGCAGCCAGUUAGAUCAUGUUUGGACUGUUGAGGUAUCCUGUGUGUCUUGCCACCGUAGGAUUCCAGUCGUAUCAGUGUCUUUUCAGUAAACCAUGUUCAGUGAGACUAAGAGAAUCCUCUCCGGAAUGUAGUACUAUAUCUUUUCCAUUUUACCUAUACGUUAUACGUAAGGUAGUUAUGAAUGAAAGUCUUUUCCCUUUAUUUGCCCUCUGAUAUAAAUGGUAUGCCUGCAAAAUAUUCCAAUGAAUACAAUACGUCUGUCUCAACGGGCGCGGCGUGCCACCAUGCCGGGUUCGCUAGUAUUAGAGGAGAGGAGAAAAAAAGCAUCCAUUCCGAGGUGGUUUCACGAUUGGCAGGGUAAUUAAGGGGCGCGGCAGCGGACAGUGAGGUGGAUUGGCGGGCUUGCGGAGGCAUGCCACCAUCCCCCGAGCCAUCGAUAGCAAAAAGGUAAGAAUAUUAGAGGACGCUAAAAUAGACAAGGAGUUUACUGCAGUGUCCUCUAGCAUUAGAGAACAUUGCCUUCCUCUGAGCCGUCCAAAGCAAAAAAAAAAUAGAGCAUGAAACUAGCGAAAUACUAGAGGAGUAAAUAUUACGUCCAGAAAAUAAAUUAAAAAGAUUGCCUUCCUGUGAGACGUCCAAAGCAAACGAAUAGAGCACAAAAUUAGCAAAAUUUUAGAAGAAAAAAUAUAUUGCCUCUAAAAAAUAUAUUAAAAAGUAGUAGUAAAAAGUGUAUAUUGAAAGAUCGCCUUUCUCUGAGACGUCCAAAGCAAAAGAAUAGAGCACUAAAUUAGCAAAGUAUUUGAAGGGAAAAUACUGUGUUGAAAAAAUAUGUUUAAAAAGACUAACAUCACACCGUACUUCUAACCCCCCGCUCCUCCAAGUAAGGAGAGACUUAGGGUCACAGGCCGCCAGGACAGGCCCACCUAUUCACUGAAGAUCGUACCAUCAGUUACACGGGUGGACACCCACCUAUUGAACGAUUGGAUCAUUUUGGAAAAGCGCUUUAUAAUUUCAUUGUUGGUACUAAUCCCGCGUCGGGGUUACACCAGGAUGAUUUGAUUUCAACAUCCGAUGUCACUUAUGCUCUAUCUUGCCACAGUAGAGCUAUCUCAUGUCGUCGGUUGCAGACAGUUAGAUCAUGUUUGGACUGUUGAGGUAUCCUGUGUGUCUUGCCACCAUAGGAUUCCAAUCGUAUCAGUGUCUUUUCAGUAAACCAUGUUCAGUGAGAAUAAGAGAAUCCUCUCCGGAAUGUAGUACUAUAUCUUUUCCAUUUUACCUAUACGUUAUAUGUAAGGUAGUUAUGAAUGAAAGUCUUUUCCCUUUAUUUGCCUUCUGAUAUAAAUGGUAUGCCUGCAAAAUAUUCCAAUGAAUACAAUACGUCUGUCUCAACGGGCGCGGCGUGCCACCAUGCCGGGUUCGCUAGUAUUAGAGGAGAGGAGAAAAAAAGCAUCCAUUCCGAGGUGGUUUCACGAUUGGCAGGGUAAUUAAGGGGCGCGGCAGCGGAUAGUGAGGUGGAUUGGCGGGCUUGCGGAGGCAUGCCACCAUCCCCCGAGCCAUCGAUAGCAAAAAGGUAAGAAUAUUAGAGGACGCUAAAAUAGACAAGGAGUUUACUGCAGUGUCCUCUAGCAUUAGAGAACAUUGCCUUCCUCUGAGCCGUCCAAAGCAAAAAAAAAAUAGAGCAUGAAACUAGCGAAAUACUAGAGGAGUAAAUAUUACGUCCAGAAAAUAAAUUAAAAAGAUUGCCUUCCUGUGAGACGUCCAAAGCAAACGAAUAGAGCACAAAAUUAGCAAAAUUUUAGAAGAAAAAAUAUAUUGCGUCUAAAAAAUAUAUUAAAAAGUAGUAGUAAAAAGUGUAUAUUGAAAGAUCGCCUUUCUCUGAGACGUCCAAAGCAAAAGAAUAGAGCACUAAAUUAGCAAAGUAUUUGAAGGGAAAAUACUGUGUUGAAAAAAUAUGUUUAAAAAGACUAACAUCACACCGUACUUCUAACCCCCCGCACCUCCAAGUAAGGAGAGACUUAGGGUCACAGGCCGCCAGGACAGGCCCACCUAUUCACUGAAGAUCGUACCAUCAGUUACACGGGUGGACACCCACCUAUUGAACGAUUGGAUCAUUUUGGAAAAGCGCUUUAUAAUUUCAUUGUUGGUACUAAUCCCGCGUCGGGGUUACACCAGGAUGAUUUGAUUUCAACAUCCGAUGUCACUUAUGCUCUAUCUUGCCACAGUAGAGCUAUCUCAUGUCGUCGGUUGCAGCCAGUUAGAUCAUGUUUGGACUGUUGAGGUAUCCUGUGUGUCUUGCCACCAUAGGAUUCCAGUCGUAUCAGUGUCUUUUCAGUAAACCAUGUUCAGUGAGAAUAAGAGAAUCCUCUCCGGAAUGUAGUACUAUAUCUUUUCCAUUUUACCUAUACGUUAUAUGUAAGGUAGUUAUGAAUGAAAGUCGUUUCCCUUUAUUUGCCUUCUGAUAUAAAUGGUAUGCCUGCAAAAUAUUCCAAUGAAUACAAUACAUCUGUCUCAACGGGCGCGGCGUGCCACCAUGCCGGGUUCGCUAGUAUUAGAGGAGAGGAGAAGCAAAGCAUCCAUUCCGAGGUGGUUCCACGAUUGGCAGGGUAAUUAAGGGGCGCGGCAGCGGACAGUGAGGUGGAUUGGCGGGCUUGCGGAGGCAUGCCACCAUCCCCCGAGCCAUCGAUAGCAAAAAGGUAAGAAUAUUAGAGGACGCUAAAAUAGACAAGGAGUUUACUGCAGCGUCCUCUAGCAUUAGAGAACAUUGCCUUCCUCUGAGCCGUCCAAAGCAAAAAAAAAAAUAGAGCAUGAAACUAGCGAAAUACUAGAGGAGUAAAUAUUACGUCCAGAAAAUAAAUUAAAAAGAUUGCCUUCCUGUGAGACGUCCAAAGCAAACGAAUAGAGCACAAAAUUAGCAAAAUUUUAGAAGAAAAAAUAUAUUGCGUCUAAAAAAUAUAUUAAAAAGUAGUAGUAAAAAGUGUAUAUUGAAAGAUCGCCUGUCUCUGAGACGUCCAAAGCAAAAGAAUAGAGCACUAAAUUAGCAAAGUAUUUGAAGGGAAAAUACUGUGUUGAAAAAAUAUGUUUAAAAAGACUAACAUCACACCGUACUUCUAACCCCCCGCACCUCCAAGUAAGGAGAGACUUAGGGUCACAGGCCGCCAGGACAGGCCCACCUAUUCACUGAAGAUUGUACCAUCAGUUACACGGGUGGACACCCACCUAUUGAACGAUUGGAUCAUUUUGGAAAAGCGCUUUAUAAUUUCAUUGUUGGUACUAAUCCCGCGUCGGGGUUACACCAGGAUGAUUUGAUUUCAACAUCCGAUGUCACUUAUGCUCUAUCUUGCCACAGUAGAGCUAUCUCAUGUCGUCGGUUGCAGCCAGUUAGAUCAUGUUUGGACUGUUGAGGUAUCCUGUGUGUCUUGCCACCAUAGGAUUCCAGUCGUAUCAGUGUCUUUUCAGUAAACCAUGUUCAGUGAGAAUAAGAGAAUCCUCUCCGGAAUGUAGUACUAUAUCUUUUCCAUUUUACCUAUACGUUAUAUGUAAGGUAGUUAUGAAUGAAAGUCGUUUCCCUUUAUUUGCCUUCUGAUAUAAAUGGUAUGCCUGCAAAAUAUUCCAAUGAAUACAAUACAUCUGUCUCAACGGGCGCGGCGUGCCACCAUGCCGGGUUCGCUAGUAUUAGAGGAGAGGAGAAGAAAAGCAUCCAUUCCGAGGUGGUUCCACGAUUGGCAGGGUAAUUAAGGGGCGCGGCAGCGGACAGUGAGGUGGAUUGGCGGGCUUGCGGAGGCAUGCCACCAUCCCCCGAGCCAUCGAUAGCAAAAAGGUAAGAAUAUUAGAGGACGCUAAAAUAGACAAGGAGUUUACUGCAGCGUCCUCUAGCAUUAGAGAACAUUGCCUUCCUCUGAGCCGUCCAAAGCAAAAAAAAAAAAUAGAGCAUGAAACUAGCGAAAUACUAGAGGAGUAAAUAUUACGUCCAGAAAAUAAAUUAAAAAGAUUGCCUUCCUGUGAGACGUCCAAAGCAAACGAAUAGAGCACAAAAUUAGCAAAAUUUUAGAAGAAAAAAUAUAUUGCGUCCAAAAAAUAUAUUAAAAAGUAGUAGUAAAAAGUGUAUAUUGAAAGAUCGCCUUUCUCUGAGACGUCCAAAGCAAAAGAAUAGAGCACUAAAUUAGCAAAGUAUUUGAAGGGAAAAUACUGUGUUGAAAAAAUAUGUUUAAAAAGACUAACAUCACACCGUACUUCUAACCCCCCGCACCUCCAAGGAAGGAGAGACCUAGGGUCACAGACCGCCAGGACAGGCCCAGCCAGAAGUGCGUAGCGAAUGCUUUCGCCUCAGCAGAGCUGAUGAAUCAGCUUUGCGUCUUCGGCGAGGCAGAUCACAGCGCAAGCCUAUUUAAGCCGCGUCCUACCUCCUAAGGCGAGCGGUGUGGUACUAAACAUUGCAACAGACAGGAGCGCACUACGUUUUGUAACUCUUGUUCCUAACCUGGGCCGUCGUGUUCGGCCCAGCAGCUAGGCCUGCCCGUGAGGGACUACGCACGCGCUAGCAGGGAUUCAAUCUGGGGUUGCGCCGCGGCCGGCGGAAGUGGCGCAUGACCUCUGACGCCGCCGUAUUCGUGUUGCGCGGGAGGAGGUGCUGGUGGCUCCAUCGGGUUUGUCUCCUCCCGGCGUACCUCCUGGCGCCGGGAAUCGAGACCGGCGGCUGGAGCUCGGGAGGCGGGACAGGGUGUCCAAGACCCGAGGCUGCGCGCACUCCUCCAAGGGUCCUACGGGAGGUCUCCGACUACGACGGCAACUCCUACUCGGGCUCCGCUGGGCCGAUCAGUUCGUAUCAUUCAUGACAAAUUUUCUCUGGUCCGGGCUCUCCCGCUGGGCCGGCGACGCCAACUUGUGGGAGUGCGUGUCAUGGGAACGGCUACAAGUCAGGGUGGACACACGGUACUGUCUCUCACCGAGCCAACGUUUGGAGCGGCCGCCCGGCGUCUCUCAAGCCCGGGGUGGACCGAGAGGAUCCGCCGUGCUCACCUCAUCUGAGAGAAGAAUGCGCACGGGAGGUUGUUGGACGGCGCAGGGAGAGAUUCAGGCGACUCCAUGGUCGAGAUAGGCGACACUGAACACACGACAAGUCGACAACGACGGGAGGCGGUGGCGUCAGCCGUCAGCUAGGGCGGGAUUGUUGUCGUCGCCGGACCACGAUCGGCAACUGAACCUGACAGACUAACACACUGAAACUGAACACGAAAUAAGCAAGAGACAAUAGUUGAGCAUCCCACACGUCACGCUCGUCCCAGAAUAAAAGGAAACGAAAACCGAUCCUAAACUGAAUCUCCUGCGUCAUAUCCGAACAACUUUGACGUGGAGGUGGUCAUGGUAUGGGGCUGAGAUUAUCGGAUCUAACCCCGUUUCUCUAGUUCUUUCUUUUUUCCCUUCGGCAGAAUAUCUUUACCUAAUAACUAGCAAAAACGACCGUGCGUUACAACGGAAGAAAAACUAAAGGGGACCGCUAAAACUCAGUCGACUAAGUUUUAGCGAAGUCUCAGUCGAUGCCCCGGUUCGUUGGAUCGUUUCGAGAUUUAAACGAUCGCUGAUGUCUUGUAUUGAAGUAUCAGCCUGUUCUAGUGGUGCGACCGGCCUGUUAUCUUUUUCUUUUCCUUCCUUUUCGCCUUUUUGUCUGUGUUGGACAGGGAUACGCUAUGGGCUGACCGUGACGGGCGUUGUGUGCUUUUUCUUUGUUUUUUGCCUUUUCUUCUUUUUAGGCUUUCUUCUAGGCUGGGCUUUUUUCCGGUGCUAGUAUUUGCCUGGGGACAGGAGCGAGCAAUACGAUCCCAUUUUCUCCUGCUGGCCGUUCAUCUCUCUCACAUAGCCACAUGCAAGUUCGUUCAUCUCUCUCACGUGGCCACAUGCAAGUUUUUUUAACUAGACGUGGAAGACAAAGUCUGUGUGUUUUUGUUAUUGUAGUAGUCUAUAAACGAGCAUAUUCAUUUUUCAACAUUUUUACUAAUUUUUUUGUUGCACAACAUCUGCACGUAAUCAUGCCGACUGCAAUUGAAAGGGUCACAACGCGUCUAAAAACUGGAGAGAGGGAGCGCCAAUUGCACGUCCACACCCUGAGCUGCAUUUUCAUUUGGGCUAUAGCUUGUCUUGUGUGUGCCGCUGACGUCGGAGUAACGACAAGUAUUCAUUUUUAUUUUUUAUUUUUUUGGGUGCCAGUUGCAUUCCCAUUCCCUGAGUUGCAACUGCAUGCGGACCAUGUCAACUAUAAUUGCAUAUCUGACACUAGACUCGCAACUGCAAGGGUCGGCAUCCGACUGCAAUUCAUGUCCACCCCUGAGCUGCAUUUUUAUUUGGGUUAUAGCUUGUCUUGUGUGCCACCACCGGAGUGACGACAAGGAUACUUUUUAUUUUUUAUUUUUUGGGUGCCUGUUGCAUGCCCAUUCACUAAGUUGCAAUUGCAUGCGGGCCAUGUCGACUGCAAUCAGUGGUGGUGCCAGGAAUAAAAAUCAUGUGUAGUCACUUUAAAGUUGUGCAGUCAAAUAUAAUAAUUUUAUAGUUUUUCGCAUGAUUUAUACUUGAUGUAUUACGUUUUAUGCCAAAGAGCUGUGUAGUCAAGUGACUACACAGCCUAGACGUGGCUUAGCCACUGACUGCAAUUGCAUGUUUGUCACUAGACUCGCAAUUGCAAGUGUCGACACCCGACUGCAAUUCAUGUCCAUCACUGGCUGCAUUUUCAUAUGGGUUAUAGCUUGUCUUGUGUGCCGCCGCCGGCGGAGUGACGACUAGGAUUCAUUUUUAUUUUUUAUUUUUUGGGAGCUAUUUGUAUGCCCAUUCCCUGAGUAGCAACUGCAUGUGGGCCUUGUCGAUUGCAAUUGCAUGUCUGCCACUAGACUCGCAACUGCAAGUGUGGACACCCAACUACAAUUCAUGUCCACCCCUGAGCUUAAAUUUUCACAUGGGUUAUAGCUUAUCUUGUGUGCCGCCGCUGCCGGGGUGACGAUAAGGAUGCAUUUUUGGGUGCCAGUUGCAUCCCAUUCCCUAAGUUGCAACUGCAUGCGGGCCAUGUUGACUGCAAUUGCAUGUUUGUCACUAGACUCGCAACUGCAAGUGUCGUCAUCCGACUGCAAUUCAUGUCCACCCUGGCUGUAUUUUCAUAUGGGUUAUAGCUUGUCUUGUAUGUCGCCGGAUUCAUUUUUAUUUUUUAUUUUUUGGGAGCCAAUUGUAUGCCCAUUCCCUGAGUUGCAAUCGUAUGCGGGCCUUAUCGAUUUCAAUUGCAUGUUUGCCACUAGACUCACAACUGCAAGUGUUGACACCCGAAUGCAAUUUAUGUCCACCCUCGAGCUUAAUUUUUCAUAUGGGUUAUAACUUAUCUUGUGUGCCGCCGCCGGGGUGACGAUAAGGAUGCAUUUUUCGGGUGCCAAUUGCAUGCCCAUUCCCUGAGUUGCAGUUGCAUGCGAGCCAUGUCGACUGCAAUUGCAUGUCUGCCACUAGACUCGCAAUUGCAUGUGUUGGCAACCACUUGCAAUUCAUGUCCACCCCUGAGCUGCAUUUUCAUAUGUGUAUAGCUUGUCUUGUGUGCCACCACCGGAGUGACGACACGGAUGCAUUUUUGUUUUUAAUUUUUUUGGGUGCCAAUUGCAUGCCCAUUCCCUGAGUUACAACUGCAUGCGGGCCAUGUCAACUGCAAUUGCAUGUCUGCCACAAGACUCGCAAUUGUGAGCGUCGGCACCCGAUUGCAAUUCAUGUCCACCCCGAGCUGCAUUUUCAUAUGGAUUAUAGCUUGUCUUGUGUGUCACCGCCGCUGGAGUGACAAUAAGGAUGUAUUUUUAUUUUUGUUGGGUGCCAAUUGCAUGCCUAUUCCUUGAGUUGCAACUGCAUGCGAGCCAUGUAGACUGCAAUUGCAUGUCUGCCACUAGACCCGCAACUACGAGUGUCAGUAUCCGACUACAAUUCAUGUAGAUCCCUGAUCAAGCCAUCACACAAAUCACUAAGGGUGGGUUUUCUAACUCGUUUAGUCCCACAAUUGCAUGUCGACCUCCUGGACAUGUGAUGCCAUGCGCGGCUCUUCCAACAUGGUUGAACUGGACUUCUAUUUUUUCAGAGGGCAUCGGGAGAGGGGGUGCAAUUGCAUGUGUACACUAGCCUUGCAACUGCAAGCACCGUCCCCUACUGCAAUUGCAUGUCUUCCAAUACGAUGAACUGUACUUUGUUUUGCUCGGGGUGUAGUUGCAUGCGUACACUAGGCAUGCAACUGCAAGUGUCACCCCUCGACUGCAACAACAUGUCUUUUCAACAUCGCUGUAUCUAGACUUUGUUUUGUUGGAAGGGACAGCGGGAAGUCGCACUGGUGUGGCCUUGGAUCUCUCAAGUCACUGGAAUGUGGCCCCAAUCCUCAACUUCUAACGUUCUCCUAGAAAUAUCCAGCCGUCACUGUUUAAAUUUAGACACAGAGAGGGGGGAGGGGGGGAGGACGAGAGAAGGUCGUACAUGGGGUCCAUACCUCAGGUGUCUGCGAUGCAGGUCGUCGGCGUCAAGAUCCAGGGGCACACUGGUGCAACUCCAGCCUACUCGCGCCCUGCAGAGCAUGUAAUCAACCUACUUGCCCAAGUAAAUCAAUCCCCGUUGUUGUGUCUGUGCGCCGAAAUUCGGCACCCCUACCUUAAUUUUUUCUCUAGGGUUCACCUAUGUGUGACAAAAUUACCAUUCAUAGAGAUGUCCCAACGCAAGAGAGUAGCCCAAAUGUCAAAGUAGCGACUAAGGUGCCAAUGAUUUUUCUUGUUCUGCCUGUGUUGUGUUUUUGCUCGGGAGGAGCCCAAAUUUUGGAUGCUCCGAAAUGGAGGGCUCCCCUUUUUUCUUGGGAAGUUUCCAAUGUGUCUAAUAAGAAAUGAAGUGGCUGAAAAAUUUCAAAGUAGCUUCUGAUCGCCUUUUUAAGUAGCCGCCGUCAGGUUCUGAGCACCUCUGAUUUUGUUAUAACUGGUGAACGGAGCUGAUUGUUUUCACUAAUUGAACCCAACUCUAACCAAAGUGCGCACACACACAGACCAAGCUGACUUGUGCAUGCAAACAAGACAAACAAACAAACAGGGAACCGAAGGAAUUCUCGUCGUUUAGGUACAGAAUAGCGUUUUUAGCUGUCUCUUUCUGGGCUGUAGUUUUUUUUUCAUUUUAGCAAAAAAGACAAACAAACAAACAGCCCAAACCAAUAAAAAGACAAAGAAAAGCCUAGAACUGAAGCCCAUAACGGGGGAAUUAGAACCCACUAUCCAGGGAGGCAAAACGGGCCAAAUCAUCUCUAGGUGACAUCAUUCGACUGAGACUUUGCGAAGUCUCAGUCGACUGAUUCCUAGACACACCCAAAACUAAAAGAACACAACAAGCAACGCGCGAAAAUCAGGCUUGAAGGCAUAUAUGUUCUUAUUAGCCAUACCCGCGCGAGCGGCACGCUGCGCCUCAUCGAUAUGGUACAUGUAUAUGUCCUAUUUUCAGUGUAUAAAAACUGCAAAAAUUAGUGUGCAUAGAAACUACAAGACAACUAUGCUCAGCAGGGAGAUGAACCAGCGCAAGAACACAUACACACCAUGCACGGACAUGUAUGAACACGGAGCCAUCGUACAUCAAGAAGAUUAUACUCGCCCAAACACGCUGGCCUCAAUGAUGAGCCUGCGAUUGGGCUACCAACACAACACAUCUAAGCUCACCACCACCAUCUCUUCUACGACCAUGGUGUCAUGGACACGGAACUGCCCCAUCUCCAUCUCUGACGUGCCUUCCUCCCAUCACUCCAUCGCCGUCCGCACGGUCCACAGUUCUUGCCCAUCAACUUGCAUGCUUCAUCGCCGCCGGAUAUGAUGCACACGGCCUGGCGCAACACCACAUGGGCCUCCGUCGACGGGAGCAGAUGGAGAAACAGAGAAAGCCAUGUCCGACUCCAACGACGACGUGCGGUCCAGGGUUGUUGCCGAGUGGCUGACACAUCGUAGGGCGGAUGCCGCGAUGCUCUACCUGUCAUGUUACCGCCGCGCCCAUGCUACGCUGCAGCGCUGUAGGCUGUAGCCUCCGUCCGCCGCUGCACCACUCCGUUUCUCUGCUUGAUCUACGAUUUUGAGGAGCAAAAGCAUGUGGAGCUGGUGCAUCUGCCACUGCUAAACGACCGUGGCAUGGUGGAGGGCGUGGAUGGCUACACAGGUUGCCCCUCGGCGGCGGACCUCGCGGUGAUCCUCGGCGUUGUCGACGACAAGACGGCUAGCAGGCUGGCCUCGAGCUUGUCCGGCGCCGCUCAGCAUGGAAGUCCGCAGGAGGCGCUGAGACAACACUGUCAUCGUCGUGUCUCAGGAAGAACGAAGGGGCACUGCUAUGGAGAGCUAUCGGCAAGCAGAACAAGGCCUAGAACUGCUGCUACGGGCUCCAUGCUGAGUGGGGGAGAGGCUGGGAAAGAAAUGAAGCGGCCUAAUGGCUGCGGUCGAGAGACGACUGGCAGCGAGCAGAUAGAGGCAACAAAGAAAAGGCAGCCCGCAUGUUAGGAUGAGAAGACCGCGCGAGGCGAGACAAACGGGUUUUAG